UUCCGGUUGAUCCUGCCGGACCCGACUGCUAUAUGGGUGAGAAUAAGCCAUGCGAGUUGAAUGGAAUACCUAAAUUUUCCAUGGCAAACUGCUCAGUAACACAUGAUCAACUUACCCUAUAGAGAAAAAUAACCUCGGGAAACUGAGGAUAAUGUUUCAUAGUUGAAAAGGCUUGGAAAAGUUUUUCAACAAAAGGGAUAAGAAAAAUGGUUAUCCGCUAUAGGAUAGGAUCGUGCUCGAUUAUGGUUGUUGGUGAGGUAAUGGCUCACCAAGCCGAUAAUCGAUAGGGGCCGUGAGAGCGGGAGCCCCGAGAUGGGUACUGAGACAACGACCCAGGCCUUACGAGGCGCAGCAGGCGCGAAACCUCGCAAUACACGAAAGUGUGACGGGGUUACCCAAAGUGUUCAAUUUUGAACUGUGGUAGGUGAGUAAUGUUCCCUACUAGAAAGGAGAGGGCAAGGCUGGUGCCAGCCGCCGCGGUAAAACCAGCUCUUCAAGUGGUCGGGAUAAUUAUUGGGCUUAAAGUGUCCGUAGCCGGUUUAGUAAGUUCCUGGUAAAAUCGGGUAGCUUAACUAUCUGUAUGCUAGGAAUACUGCUAAACUAGAGGGCGGGAGAGGUCUGAGGUACUACAGGGGUAGGGGUGAAAUCUUAUAAUCCUUGUAGGACCACCAGUGGCGAGGGCGUCAGACUGGAACGUGCCUGACGGUGAGGGACGAAAGCCAGGGGAGCGAACCGGAUUAGAUACCCGGGUAGUCCUGGCCGUAAACGAUGCAUACUAGGUGAUGGCGUGGCCAUGAGCCGUGUCAGUGCCGUAGGGAAACCGUUAAGUGUGCCGCCUGGGAAGUACGGUCGCAAGGCUAAAACUUAAAGGAAUUGGCGGGGGAGCAC
rnacentral:rRNA from 1 species